GGGGCCUAGUGGUUAGAGCGUCCACUUCGGAUUCGGGAGGUCGUGGGUUCGAACCCCGGCUGAGUCA